UCUUGAUCGUAUAACCACAGCGUUAUGUUAUUUUCUGGAGAAAGGAAAAAAAUAGCUACAACCCACUCUGCAAGAUAGUGCUAACCUAUUCCAGUGUGAGAGUGCCCCAAAAUAARGGUUUUUUAUAACAUUUUAUUAUGGCCAGAUCGAACAAAAUAAGAAUCUUCGGGCAUUUUAAAUUAAAACAUCCAACAUUUAGUACAAAUAACAAUUACUAUAUAGUGGUUAUAUAUUAUAUGGAGCAUCUAUUUAAGUCUUUUUAAAGUAUCAAAAUCACUGCAGCCAUGACUUCUGAAGGUGUCAAAUUAGAAGUUAUCAAUAUUUUGAAUGAGAAUGGCAACGUUUGACCUUAUAUAGGGCACCUUGGGUUGAUUCAGAGAGAUGAAACAGGCUUCAAAUAUCUUUACAAAAAUUAAUGAGGUGUUUCCAUCACAUUUUUCAACAAAGGAACCAUUGCCUAGAAUUCAUUGGAAAAAUUUCUCUUGUGCCGAUGCUCCAGUUUGACGAAAAAAAGAUUCAGAAAAUUUAUGUCCAAAAAUUUUUAUAGAGAGAGAGAGAGAGAAUCUACAGUCGUAUAUCGAAGGUAAAAGCGUCAAUGGGUUUUAUAAUGAGGACUUUUCGAAGGCGUUGGAACGACUGGGCAAAGAAUUCCUGGCGUACACAGGGAUCACUGAACCGCAUUCAAAUGUAUAUGCAUCAAGUGCUUCUCAGGAAGGCUAUUUCGCUCGUUUACAACAGAGUAUGAGAGAGACCGUACAGUUGCCCUGUUCAGCAGAUCGAUUCGUUUGUGAACACCUAAAGCGGCUACAGAGCGGGACCAAUGAAUUAGGUGCACAACUGAAGCACGCCAACCACGCAAA